UGGCGUAUUAAACAACAAGAAGCAAAAAAACUAAGAAGAAAAGAUUUGGAGAAGAAACUUUAACUCGGUUAACUUUGUGGACAAGCAAAAACAUUAGAGAGGAGGUUAAAAAUAUUAUGUAUCCCCAUUCUCUCAUAUAAAGAAUACAGCGUGUUUUGGUCACAGUUAAUCUUAAAAGUUUAAAGUCUACUGGGAUGCUUGAAUAGAAUGGAGCCAUCAACAUUAUUAAUUACACCUGUGCUUUUUGUAUCACGGCAAGUAAAAAAUGCUCGCUGUGAAAUUAACUCUGAGGGACAUGUGGUAAGAGACGUAUGAGAAGUUGGAUUGUGGGUUGGUACUGCUCGACUAUACAGAUUUACGAAAGGAAAAAAGUGGGGAUUAUCAGGCGGACAGAUCCGGGAGACUCUAUCUGUCUCUGUCCAUGUCAGUGUAACACCGUGCUAAUCAAUGCUGAGGGGGAUACCAUGGAGUUGAUCCCAGGGGACAGGAGGCUUCUUCUACAACACAACUCUGCAUGA
rnacentral:lncRNA from 1 species